AACGAACGCUGGCGGCAUGCCUAACACAUGCAAGUCGAACGAGACCUUCGGGUCUAGUGGCGCACGGGUGCGUAACGCGUGGGAACCUGCCCUUAGGUUCGGAAUAACUCCCCGAAAGGGGUGCUAAUACCGGAUAAUGUCUUCGGACCAAAGAUUUAUCGCCUUUGGAUGGGCCCGCGUUGGAUUAGCUAGUUGGUAGGGUAAAAGCCUACCAAGGCGACGAUCCAUAGCUGGUCUGAGAGGAUGAUCAGCCACACUGGGACUGAGACACGGCCCAGACUCCUACGGGAGGCAGCAGUGGGGAAUAUUGGACAAUGGGCGAAAGACUGAUCCAGCAAUGCCGCGUGAGUGAUGAAGGCCUUAGGGUUGUAAAGCUCUUUUACCCGGGAUGAUAAUGACAGUACCGGGAGAAUAAGCUCAGGCUAACUCCGUG
rnacentral:rRNA from 1 species